rnacentral:rRNA from 1 species
CAGGCCUAACACAUGCAAGUCGAACGGUAACAGGCCUUCGGGCGCUGACGAGUGGCGAACGGGUGAGUAACGCAUCGGAACGUGCCCAGUCGUGGGGGAUAACGCAGCGAAAGCUGUGCUAAUACCGCAUACGAUCUGCGGAUGAAAGCGGGGGACCUUCGGGCCUCGCGCGAUUGGAGCGGCCGAUGUCAGAUUAGGUAGUUGGUGGGGUAAAGGCCCACCAAGCCAACGAUCUGUAGCUGGUCUGAGAGGACGACCAGCCACACUGGGACUGAGACACGGCCCAGACUCCUACGGGAGGCAGCAGUGGGGAAUUUUGGACAAUGGGCGCAAGCCUGAUCCAGCAAUGCCGCGUGCAGGAAGAAGGCCUUCGGGUUGUAAACUGCUUUUGUACGGAACGAAAAAGUCCGGGUUAAUACCCCGGGCCCAUGACGGUACCGUAAGA